AGAGACUGUUUGGAGUCUGGUCCAAUGCUUCUGAAGUCUAAGAGAACUGGGGACAAAAAGCUGGAGCUGACUGGGAAUUUCCAGGCUGAGGAACUGAAUAUCGCGCCUUGGGAUUUCAUAGGAAACAGACUGUCGCUAACGCCUCGGAGCCCCCAGAGCUCCGUAGCCAGGCAGGUGCCCCCGGAGCCAGCCCUGCCCGCCCUGGAAACCCAGUGCCCGGCUCUCCGCCUGCCAGAAUCAUCUUUAAGCACAAAGACAUCUGCUUGGCCUUGACAAGAGUAUUUCUCCUCUUGCACGUCAGAAGAAAGAUCAGCCUUGGCUGAUGUAGUCUGUUCCCUGGGACAAACAGCUGCAAAUGGAGAAGAGAAAGCCAACAGAGUUCCGGCUUGUAUGUCCUGUAUGAGUAAUUCAAUCUGAAAGACCUUUGUAUGGAAAUUCAAGUACUGCCUGGACUAUAUCACCAUUUUCACCCUGGCUGCUGGAGAAGAACAUGUGUCAGUACUUGAGAAAACAGUAAGGUCCUUCAGGAGAAGAGGGGCUCUCAGAGUAGAAAGCACACACUCUUCUUGGAUAAUAUGCCAAAGACAACUCUCUCAGCACACUGCAUCGCAGCACACUUUCUGUUAGGCUGUUCUUGUGUCAGUGUAACUUAUUUUCUUGAGAGUCCCAUUUCCUUCUCUUUUAUAGGCACCUCAGGUGACACCCCUUAUCUGUAGCACAUUCUUCUCUAAUGUCAAGUAAUAUUAAGCCUAACUAGAUCAUAGAGAGGAUACUGGUCCUGGAUAUUAUUUUUAUAGCAGUUCCAUAUUCAUUAACAUUAUCUUACAUGCCAGAGAGCAAGUUAUUCCAUAGGGCAAAUAAACUUGGCUUGAUUUAAUCCAAA